rnacentral:rRNA from 1 species
GAUGAACGCUGACAGAAUGCUUAACACAUGCAAGUCAACUUUGAACUUCGGUUUGGGUGGGCGGACGGGUGAGUAACGCGUAAAGAACUUGCCUCACAGUUAGGGACAAACAUUUUGGAAACGAAUGCUAAUACCUGAUAUUAUGAUUUUAGGGCAUCCUAGAAUUAUGAAAGCUAUAUGCGCUGUGAGAGAGCUUUGCGUCCUAUUAGCUAGUUGGAGAGGUAACGGCUCACCAAGGCGAUGAUGGGUAGCCGGCCUGAGAGGGUGAACGGCCACAAGGGGACUGAGACACGGCCCUUACUCCUACGGGAGGCAGCAGUGGGGAAUAUUGGACAAUGGACCAAGAGUCUGAUCCAGCAAUUCUGUGUGCACGAUGAAGUUUUUCGGAAUGUAAAGUGCUUUCAGUUGGGAAGAAAAAAAUGACGGUACCAACAGAAGAAGUGACGGCUAAAUACGUGCCAGCAGCCGCGGUAAUACGUAUGUCACAAGCGUUAUCCGGAUUUAUUGGGCGUAAAGCGCGUCUAGGUGGUUAUAUAAGUCUGAUGUGAAAAUGCAGGGCUCAACUCUGUAUUGCGUUGGAAACUGUGUAACUAGAGUACUGGAGAGGUAAGCGGAACUACAAGUGUAGAGGUGAAAUUCGUAGAUAUUUGUAGGAAUGCCGAUGGGGAAGCCAGCUUACUGGACAGAUACUGACGCUGAAGCGCGAAAGCGUGGGUAGCAAACAGG